GGGGAUAUAGCUUAGUGAUAGAGCACAUGCUUAACAUGCAUGAGGCCCUGAGUUCUAUCCCCA
rnacentral:tRNA from 1 species